CUGGAGGCUCCUCACGUGGCGCCAUCCAGGCCAACUCCCCCAGGGCGGAAACGCAGCAAGGGCAACCGGGCUCUGGCGGGUGCGUGAGGGGUCUCUACUUUU
rnacentral:SRP_RNA from 2 species